rnacentral:rRNA from 1 species
UGGCUCAGAUUGAACGCUGGCGGCAGGCUUAACACAUGCAAGUCGAGCGGUAGCACAGGGGAGCUUGCUCCCUGGGUGACGAGCGGCGGACGGGUGAGUAAUGUCUGGGAAACUGCCUGAUGGAGGGGGAUAACUACUGGAAACGGUAGCUAAUACCGCAUAACGUCGCAAGACCAAAGAGGGGGACCUUCGGGCCUCUUGCCAUCAGAUGUGCCCAGAUGGGAUUAGCUAGUAGGUGGGGUAAUGGCUCACCUAGGCGACGAUCCCUAGCUGGUCUGAGAGGAUGACCAGCCACACUGGAACUGAGACACGGUCCAGACUCCUACGGGAGGCAGCAGUGGGGAAUAUUGCACAAUGGGCGCAAGCCUGAUGCAGCCAUGCCGCGUGUGUGAAGAAGGCCUUCGGGUUGUAAAGCACUUUCAGCGAGGAGGAAGGUGGUGAGCUUAAUACGCUCAUCA